AGACCUACGAGACGUGCGUGUUCCGAGGAGAUUAUUAAGACAGCGAGAAAAGACAAGUGGAGUCAGAGCUGAGAUCUGCGCUGCAGAAAGCGGAGGGAUUCAUGUGAGCGCAGGGGGCGGCCGAGCACCGCGAACGCGCACCGCGAACGCGCACCUGAGCGACUCGAUCGAUCUGAUCACCUCCUCAGCGCGUCUCCGCGCUCUUCUGCGCUGAACCGAACUGCGAGGGAGGGAGCACAUCGAAAGAACAGUGAAGGCCAUGUGUGUGGCACAGGGGACGGUUCAGAGGACAGAGACCCCAGGCAGAGACGUCGUCUGUGGCUGAUUCCUGCCUCUCUCAGACGAUUCCUUCUGCGAGAGAUCAAAUCCACCAACAACGUCGAAGGUUGCGUACUUCAAGAGGAAGUAUGCGGAAGAGGAAGAUUUACAUAGAGGUUUUCAUGGGUACUUUGAGCAACACCUGAUACUGCCGGAGGAUCGCCACUGCAUCCUCAAACUGUCCCUGGAGAAGCUGAGGUUCCUGGAGGACCCCGAGGUCUACUUGCGGCGUGCUGUGCUUAUCAACAACCUGCUGCGCAAAAUCCACCAUGAGGAAGGUGAAGCUGGCGAGGAGGCUCCUGGGCCCUAUGCCCAUGAGACCAUCCAGAGGGAACGCUACCCAGAUGCCAAGCGGUUGAAGGUGAUGGUGGCAGACUGCUGCUCUCAGACCUUCAGCUACCGGGAGAUACAGCACCUCCACGUUGUGCCCUAUGCUCCCGCCAGUUGCCUCUAUGGAUUGGGUGGCCACCACGAUGCCCCACCCAACCACAGCUCUCGGGUCCUGGUCUAUAAACUAGAUGAUAAUGGGUAACUGGGUUUCCAGUCCACUGUGCACAUGAGAAAAAUGCUCAGUCAGAGACAGAGCCUGCUGUGGUACAGGCUAUUGAGCUGACUGUGCAGCUAACCAUGUCCCGCUUUGAAGAGUAAAACUACAGCCUGUCUUGACCUCCUAAGGCAUUUUAUAUGUUCAGUGCAUAGCUGUAGUCCAAAUCAAGGGCUCGGUUUGAGGGACAGGUUGGCAAUGCAGCCUCGUUGCUGUAAUACAUUGAGAUCAUGAACAAGUUUUUGCAGGUCUGAUUUACAGCUCCUGCUAAUGCAAAUCCAGAAUUGCCAAAUGUUUCAGGGAUAUAUAUUUUUGACAACAGUUAUAGUUACUCUGACCAUGCAUAUAUUUUACUGAAUUAACUUUUAAAAUGUAAUGUAUUACGUUUAUUGUAGCUUUAAAACUAAAUGGUGGCGCUGGAGUACAAUACAGGGUUUAAAGUUUUAUACUGUAUAUUUUAUUGCUAAUGCAAUCUAUGUAUGCCUAAGUAACCACCGUUUUUUUGUUUUUUUUUUUAAACAAAAUUAUUAGUUUCUACUCACCAAUGGCAUUUGUGAGAUAGAAUCGUAAUCUGGAAGCAAAAAAAUAAUCAGGUUUUAAAAUAGACGGGAUGUUUAUUUGAAGAACUUGUCCUGGGUUAAAAGUAACCCAGUGCUUAACUAGUGGAACAGAACACAUGCUGGGUUGUUUCAGCCACGAUCGUUUCGUUUCCACCGAUUAUCAUUACUUGUUCGGAUUGUUUGACCAUUUCCACAUGCUGUCUUUACGCAGUCAUUCAUGGUCGGAUAUACAAAUAAUUGUUGUCUUUUCAUUGUUUUUUUUAUACAGUGCAUUGGUUUUAAAUAUAACCCACCAUGCAACGCAACCUCUUUACGCCAACAUACUAGAUUGGCUGACAACACCUGUUCAGGUUCAGCGCAGGUUACUUUUAACCCAACGCUUGCAGAGCGUGUUGGAGUAAACAUGAAACACUAGUUUGUGAUUAACAUACAAAUGAUAUCCAGCGAAAUUUUACCUGGGUUUGUUUUUUGCUGUGCAUCUUCAGUAGGACAAAUUUGGGUGGAGGUCACACAUUAGGUAAGCAGCCGCGACAUGGAUCGUUUUGCGAACCAAUUUCUGGUUCCCUCUGUUGGCAGUAUGGGGUAAGAGUCCAGCUAGAGGCCCAUUUGAUUUUGCUCGUUCAUAUACGAAUUUAAUUUUUCUAAC